CCCUUAGAUGUUCUGGGCCGCACGCGCGCUACACUGAUGCAUUCAACGAGUUUUUCCUGGUCCGAGAGGAAUGGGUAACCUUUUGAAAGUGCAUCGUGCUAGGGAUAGACUAUUGCAAUUAUUGGUCUUCAACGAGGAAUUCCUAGUAGACGUAGUUCAUCAGACUGCAUCGAUUACGUCCCUGCCCUUUGUACACACCGCCCGUCGCACCUACCGAUUGAAUGGUCCGGUGAAAUCUUCGGAUCUGAGAGAUGUCUGAUUAAUUUCGGACGCCUUUUGGAAAAGUUGCUUAAACCUUACCAUUUAGAGGAAGGUGAAGUCGUAACA
rnacentral:rRNA from 1 species